AACGCACCUUGCACCCUCUGGUAUUCCGGAGGGUAUGCCUGUCUGAGUGUCUUGUAGACUCAAUCCCCCGGGUUUCCGGUCGAUUGGAUUUGGACGUUGCCUCCUCGGCUCGUCUUAAAUGUGUUAGCGGCACGAGCGCCCGCCUGACGAAUUAAGUUCCGUCCGACGACGCGUCACCGACCGCUCAUAACCGCCCCUAGGCACCUUUUGACUCUGACCUCAGAUCAGGUAGGACUACCCGCUGAACUUAA
rnacentral:misc_RNA from 1 species